CAGCCGCCACGGUAAUACGUAGGGUGCAAGCGUUAAUCGGAAUUACUGGGCGUAAAGCGUGCGCAGGCGGUCCGCUAAGACAGAUGUGAAAUCCCCGGGCUUAACCUGGGAACUGCAUUUGUGACUGGCGGGCUAGAGUAUGGCAGAGGGGGGUAGAAUUCCACGUGUAGCAGUGAAAUGCGUAGAUAUGCGGAGGAACACCGAUGGCGAAGGCAGCCCCCUGGGCCAACACUGACGCUCAUGCACGAAAGCGUGGGGAGCAAACAGGAUUAGAUACCCGGGUAGUCCCUGUCUCUUAUAC
rnacentral:rRNA from 1 species